rnacentral:rRNA from 1 species
ACCCUUAGACGUUCUGGGCCGCACGCGCGCUACACUGACGAAGGCAACGAGCUUUCCUUUACCGAAAGGUACGGGUAAUCUUUUGAAACUUCGUCGUGCUGGGGAUAGAUCCUUGCAAUUUUUGAUCUUAAACGAGGAAUGCCUAGUAAGCGCAAGUCAUCAACUUGCGUUGAUUACGUCCCUGCCCUUUGUACACACCGCUCGUCGCUACUACCGAUUGAAUGGUUUAGUGAGGCCUUCGGAUCCGCGACUCGUUUGUGGAGAAGUUGGACAAACUCAGUCAUUUAGAGGAAGUAAAAGUCGUAACA